rnacentral:hammerhead_ribozyme from 1 species
AGCCGAAACGGGUAGAGAUACCCGUCACGCCGGAAAUGGUUUCCCGGUGUCUGAUGAUGGCAGACCGUU